AGUGAACGCUGGCGGUAGGCCUAACACAUGCAAGUCGAACGGCAGCACAGGAGAGCUUGCUCUCUGGGUGGCGAGUGGCGGACGGGUGAGGAAUACAUCGGAAUCUACUCUGUCGUGGGGGAUAACGUAGGGAAACUUAGGCUAAUACCGUUUACGACCUACGGGUGAAAGCAGGGGAUCUUCGGACCUUGCGCGAUUGAAUGAGACGAGGUCGGAUUAGCUAGUGGGCGGGGUAAAGGCCCACCAAGGCGACGAUCCGUAGCUGGUCUGAGAGGAUGAUCAGCCACACUGGAACUGAGACACGGUCCAGACUCCUACGGGAGGCAGCAGUGGGGAAUAUUGGACAAUGGGCGCAAGCCUGAUCCAGCCAUACCGCGUGGGUGAAGAAGGCCUUCGGGUUGUAAAGCCCUUUUGUUGGGAAAGAAAUCCAGCUGGCUAAUACCCGGUUGGGAUGACGGUACCCAAAGAAUAAGCACCGGCUAACUUCGUGCCAGCCGCCGCCGUAA
rnacentral:rRNA from 1 species